GGAGGAAGCAGGGGAUCGCAAGACCUUGCGCUUUUGGAGCGGCCGAUGCCUGAUUAGCUUGUUGGUGAGGUAAAAGCUCACCAAGGCUCCGAUCAGUAGCUGGUCUGAGAGGACGACCAGCCACACUGGGACUGAGACACGGCCCAGACUCCUACGGGAGGCAGCAGUGGGGAAUUUUGGACAAUGGGGGCAACCCUGAUCCAGCCAUGCCGCGUGAGUGAAGAAGGCCUUCGGGUUGUAAAGCUCUUUCAGCCGGAACGAAACGGUCACGGUUAAUACCCGUGACUACUGACGGUACCGGAAGAAGAAGCACCGGCUAACUACGAGCCAGCAGCCGCGGUAAUACGUAGGGUGCGAGCGUUAAUCGGAAUUACUGGGCGUAAAGCGUGCGCAGGCGGUUUUGUAAGUCAGAUGUGAAAUCCCCGGGCUUAACCUGGGAACUGCGUUUGAAACUACAAAGCUAG
rnacentral:rRNA from 1 species